rnacentral:rRNA from 1 species
GACGAACGCUGGCGGCGUGCUUAACACAUGCAAGUCGAACGGUGAAGAGACCGGUUUUUGCUGGUGCUGUUUGAGUGGCGAACGGGUGAGUAACACGUGAGUAACCUGCCCCCUACUGCUGUAUAACCGCAUGAAAGUGUGUCUAAUACGGGAUAUUCUUCGCCUGCUGCAUUGUGGGGGGGGGAAAGAUAUUGUUUCGGUGGGGGGUGGGCUCGCGGCCUAUCAGCUUGUUGGGGGGGUGAUGGCCUACCAAGGCGGUGACGGGUCGCCGGCCUGAGAGGGUCGGCCGCCCCAGUGGGACUGAGCCACGGAGAAGACUACUACGGGCGGCAGCAGGGGAGAAUCCUGAACGAUGGGAGACAGGCUGAUGCAGCGCCGCCGCGUGAGUGAUGGAGUCCUGAGGGUUGUAAACCUCUUUCGCGAGUGAAGAAGGCCUGUCGCUUUUGUGGGCGGGUUGACGGUAGCUGGAUAAGAAGCGCCGGCUAACUACGUG